rnacentral:rRNA from 1 species
AGCGAACGCUGGCGGCAGGCCUAACACAUGCAAGUCGAACGAACUCUUCGGAGUUAGUGGCGGACGGGUGAGUAACACGUGGGAACGUGCCUUUAGGUUCGGAAUAACUCAGGGAAACUUGUGCUAAUACCGAAUGUGCCCUUCGGGGGAAAGAUUUAUCGCCUUUAGAGCGGCCCGCGUCUGAUUAGCUAGUUGGUGAG